rnacentral:rRNA from 1 species
GAUCAUGGCUCAGGAUGAACGCUAGCGGCAGGCCUAAUACAUGCAAGUCGGACGGGAUCCAUCGGAGAGCUUGCUCGAAGAUGGUGAGAGUGGCGCACGGGUGCGUAACGCGUGAGCAACCUACCUCUAUCAGGGGGAUAGCCUCUCGAAAGAGAGAUUAACACCGCAUAACAUCAACAGUUCGCAUGUUCGGUUGAUUAAAUAUUUAUAGGAUAGAGAUGGG